GAUCCUGGCUCAAGACGAACGCUGGCGGCGUGCCUAAUACAUGCAAGUAGAACGCUGAAGGAGGAGCUUGCUUCUCCGGAUGAGUUGCGAACGGGUGAGUAACGCGUAGGUAACCUGCCUGGUAGUGGGGGAUAACUAUUGGAAACGAUAGCUAAUACCGCAUAAUAGCAGUUGUUGCAUGACAACUGUUUAAAAGGUGCAAUUGCACCACUACCAGAUGGACCUGCGUUGUAUUAG
rnacentral:rRNA from 1 species